rnacentral:tRNA from 1 species
UGUGACGUGGAUGAAUGGUUUAGUCACCACGCUGAUACCGUGGGUACACAAGUACAACGUGGGUUCGAGUCCCACCGUCACAACGA